rnacentral:rRNA from 1 species
UACAGAGGUCCCAAGCGUUGUUCGGAUUCAUUGGGCGUAAAGGGUGUGUAGGUGGCGCCGUAAGUCGGGUGUGAAAUCUCGGGGCUUAACUCCGAAACUGCAUUCGAUACUGCGGUGCUUGAGGACUGGAGAGGAGACUGGAAUUCAUGGUGUAGCAGUGAAAUGCGUAGAGAUCAUGAGGAAGACCAGUGGCGAAGGCGGGUCUCUGGACAGUUCCUGACGCUGAGGCACGAAGGCCAGGGGAGCAAACGGG